ACAGUCAUUGUUUCCAGACCAGCCGAGCCAACUGGGGAGGAGAGGCCAAGCCCAGGGAGAGCAGUAAGAGGCCCAGCUUGCAACACAGGCCCCCGGCGGCUGGAGUCGGCUCAUGGGUUGCUGGGGGGCAGCUGGUGCCAGCCCUGCUAGACAUGUCCAGGGUCGGGGCAGAGGCCAGGGUGGCUCUCAUCCACAACGAGGCUCCAGGAAGAGGCUCCAGAGGGCCCAGGUCCCUGGAGGAAGACAGAGGGUGGAUUAUCCAGUGAGUCCUCAGAUUGCUCCAGGGAGACUCUACCCCUAGGCCCUCAUCCUACCUAGGACUGAGGCAGCCAUCUGGGUCUCUGCUUCCCUAACCACUUCCUCCUCCACCCGACCAUCACCUAGUCUCAAGGACUUGGGCAGCUUCUGGAAGUGGCUGAGACUGGAAGAAUGUUGUCACACCUACCAGAUAUCCCUACGUGUAUCUCUACCACCCCCACUACAUAUUCUGAAGAACCAAGGUGCAACAGGAACCUGGAGCCUCAAGAGCCGAGGUGCUCAGGAGGGGCAGCAUGACUCCAGGGCUCGGAAGGAGCCCCUCAGGUAAGGUCCCCUCAAAGCCUGAGAGUUCCCUUUGUCCACAACUCAUCUAUUUUG
rnacentral:lncRNA from 1 species